UCUUGGUGGCUCUGAUGGUAAAGAAUCUGCCUGCCAAGCAGGAGAUGCAGGUUCAAUCCCUGAAUCAGGUA
rnacentral:tRNA from 1 species